AUACCUCCGACUCGUAGCGUUGCCUCGGCGGAUUCAGGGACGAUGGGCUCGUACGGCGGCGGGAAGAGGGAGGACAGCCGGUUCGCGUGGAACGUCUUCGACGGCGUCAAGGCCUUCCCUCCUCCUACGCCGGAAGCCCUCAUGGAUGACAUCGACGCCGCCAUCUCCGCCCUCGAAUACACCCGAUCUACCGCCGCUCUACUAGCCUCCUCUUCUUCCAAGGUGGAGGAGGAGGCGGCGCCAGAAUCCGAGAUUGAUCAGCCUCCCGGCACCUCUUCGGAGCCGGUCUACGACAAGCGGAUAGCGGACGAGGCGUACAAGGCGGCGUGCGCCGCCCUAGCCGCCGGGAAGCCCGACGCCGCCAUCAGGUCGCUCCACGUGGCUCUCGCCAGCUGUCCUCCGGAAAAGACCACGGCUCUCGCCAAACUCCGCUCCCUCCUCGACCUCGCCUCCUCUCAGCAGCAAAAGCAGAAACCACAGCAUUAGCAACAGCUUCAGAUGGAUGAUUUAUCAAUCUAGUUUCAAUAUCUUGUAGCUGAUGGCGAUCUUUUCAAAUUACAUGACCAGGGAUAUUUCUGUUGACAUCCUUCAUGAGGGUUCAACUGCCCACUUGCGUCGAUAUUGAUUCUGAAAACAAAUGCAGCUCCCAUCCGAUAUCUCUGAGUCCCUUCCAGAACUCAUCAAGGUUGCUUGGGUGCAGGGUUUUACAGCUCCUACCUCAGUAAUGCCUCUUCUUUGAGCUCAGUAGAUGAUUCGUGGCAGUGACCUUGAUCGAAAAGAGUAUAUGUUCUCUCCCUUCAUCAGGUGAUAUUACUAGUGAUUCGAAGUCGAGCAAUGCAGGCCAAGUUUGAGCCCACAGAGGGUUUAAGACAUCGGUUGCAGUAAAGAUCUUAGGAAGCUGGUGGGAGCUUUCCACGGAGGAAACUGGAGAACAUCAACAAUGCUCGCUCAGGUUGGUAGGUCGGAACCAUGUGCCCUGCUCCCUUUACCGUAACAAGCGUCAGUCCUCCAUAACCAACGACAUAGCCUCCUACCUGAUAACAUAUAUCCAAAAGUUACAGAAGCAUCAGAUCUGAAUCUAGACCCUAUGUCUACACAUCAUAGUUCUUCAGAUUCUUUCGUCUUAUCCAAACCUUAUUUGAGAUCGAUGACAGAUUGCCAUUUACCUGUUUGUCGGAAUACCACGCACGCCAUGGGUUCUUGAUCGGCAACUUCAUGAUUUUGAUCGCCUUAAACGUGCCUUUGUACGGGCAUACCAUAUCGGUAUCACCACUGUGAGACAUCCGAAUAGCAAGAAAGACAACUAUGACUUUAUGCGUGUAGAUUUUGACGAGAAGGAAAAGGAAUGCUAAAGCAAGGAUAAGAGGACCUGAACAGCCACACCCUCAACCCACUGUUGACGAGCUGCUUCAUGACCGGCAAUGUGCUCGUAGGACUGUCAUUCCAAGGGAGAUCACUGCAAGAUACUCGAACAAGGAAAGGUCAGCGUGUGUAAAGGUUUCAUCCGCUCAUGCUGAUCUUUAAAACAGACACAGAGACAAGCAAUCAGUACGUGCAAGAACUCCAUGGUCCAUCAAUCUUGGUAACAUUCGCAUGAAGAGCCUUUUGCACCUCAGGAUCGUUCAGGAAUGGAUAUCUUACCGCUACGCCAGACUCGGAAGAACUGUUGGAGCCAACGCAAACGGGAGCAUAGACAUUGUAAGGAUCGAUGUUUCCGGUCUCUGCAGCAACAGCAGCUGUAGCUUUGUUGCACUCUUCGUUUAUGAUGGCAGAGAAGUUGCAGAAUCGACGAGUUCUAGCAAAUGUCUCAUCGGAUAUUAGUGCGUGACUCCACAAAAACUCGUACCUUGCUUCGCUGUUGGUUACUUCAUCAACAUAAGCGUUCCCAAUCUAGGAGGAAACAUCACACAUGUCGUAUCGGUUGAGCUGUAGCAGACGAGCCAAGACUCUCGUGAGAUCAGAUUCACUUACUGCAAUGGCACUGAGGUUGAUGAGAGUCCGGUUGGCGAGCUUGUUGCGGUGCAGUAUGAGCGAGGCGAGUUGGGGGACGUAGUGGCCGGCGUAACUCUCCCCGGCGAUGAAGAACUUGCGAUUCUUGUAGUGGGGGAAUCUCUCCAGCCAGUUUAGCAGAAAGGUGAAUGUAUCUUCCGCGGUCCUCUUGUCUCCGCUUUGAUCAUAAUCUGUGGUAGUAUUCGAGUACGAGAAGCCAACCCCUGCUGGGGAUUCCAAGAAGAGCACAUUGGCCACUGUCACAGUUGCAGCCGGUAAUCAUCAGAACAUGGUCCAAGUGCUCAAGAUUGAAGUAGAAGAACCUCCCAUUACCUUCAUUCCAAGCAUAAGGAUUUCUUUCGAGCGUUUUGCCAUCGCUUUUGACUCUGAAAGGGCCGAGUUCUUCCAUGGCUCCGUAUGCCAGAGAGGAGCACCCUGGCCCUGCAAUCAGAGAACACAUAUAUGAUCGAGAUCAUCCUAGGAAAACGAAGCUGUAGGAGGUCCAAAAUCCAACGGCAAGGCAUGCAGAUCACCUCCAUUAAGCCACAAGACGAGAGGCUUGGACGAAGACCUGUGAGGGGACUCGACGAAGUAGUAGAACAGUGCCCUCCCCUUCUUCGGGUCAACCGUCACGUGCCCUGCAUACUGAUCGAAGUCAACGCCGCCGGGUUGCCCCGGCAAUGCUGUGAUCUUAUCGGCGUCCCUCAGCCCAUUCUGAGGGCCGACGUAGACCGGCGAGGAGGCCGAGUCGGCGGCGUCGAGAUCGAGCCAUGGGUCAGGUUGAUCUGACCAUGUCGAUCUCUUGGAUUCAGUCAGCCUUAUUAGUUGCUCAGCCUGAUUCGCUUCGUUGACGUGGAGCAGCGAGACACUGCAGGAGACGAGAAGCAACGUGAUGCAUGCAAACCUCAUAGGCUCUGUUUCCAUGUAGCUUGUCAACGACGAGAGAGAGAGAGAGAGAGAAAGAGAGAGAACUGUAAAGGCCGGCCAACUACUAGUAUUUGGAUAGUCGGUCUUUACUUAGGAAGACAGGUCAUGGGAGAAGAGUAUACCGUUUGAAUACUAUAUAUGACCAAUAUAGCUGUCAUGGGUGCGUUGUGAAAACAUUAUUGAACAUAUGUGUUUACCUAUA